rnacentral:rRNA from 1 species
GAUGAACGCUGGCGGCGUGCCUAAUACAUGCAAGUCGAGCGAACAGACGAGGAGCUUGCUCCUCUGACGUUAGCGGCGGACGGGUGAGUAACACGUGGAUAACCUACCUAUAAGACUGGGAUAACUUCGGGAAACCGGAGCUAAUACCGGAUAACAUGUUGAACCGCAUGGUUCAACAGUGAAAGACGGUCUUGCUGUCGCUUAUAGAUGGAUCCGCGCCGCAUUAGCUAGUUGGUAAGGUAACGGCUUACCAAGGCAACGAUGCGUAGCCGACCUGAGAGGGUGAUCGGCCACACUGGAACUGAGACACGGUCCAGACUCCUACGGGAGGCAGCAGUAGGGAAUCUUCCGCAAUGGGCGAAAGCCUGACGGAGCAACGCCGCGUGAGUGAAGAAGGUCUUCGGAUCGUAAAACUCUGUUAUUAGGGAAGAACAAAUGUGUAAGUAACUAUGCACGUCUUGACGGUACCUAAUCAGAAAGCCACGGCUAACUACGU